AAUGAACGUUGGCGGCGUGGAUUAGGCAUGCAAGUCGCGCGAGAAACGUAGCAAUACGUGGAAAGCGGCGUAAGGGAGAGUAAUGCAUGGUUAGCUACCCCCGGGACUGGGAUAGCGGCGGGAAACUGCCGGUAAUACCAGAUGAUGUCUUCGGACCAAACGUGUAAAUCGGCCCGGGGAGGUGACCAUGUCCUAUCAGCUUGUUGGCGGGGUAACGGCGCACCAAGGCAAAGACGGGUAUGGGGCGUGAGAGCGUGCCCCCACUCACUGGGACUGAGACACUGCCCAGACACCUACGGGUGGCUGCAGUCGAGAAUCUUCGGCAAUGGGUGCAAGCCUGACCGAGCGACGCCGCGUGCGGGAUGGAGGCCUUCGGGUUGUAAACCGCUGUCGUAGGGGAGGAAGGUCUGGUGUAUAGCCAGGCUUGACCGAUCCUAGGAGGAAGGGCCGGCUAAUCUCGUGCCAGCAGCCGCCGUAACAC
rnacentral:rRNA from 1 species